rnacentral:tRNA from 1 species
GCGAAAGUAGCUCAGUUGGUAGAGCGCAACCUUGCCAAGGUUGAGGUCGCGGGUUCGAAUCCCGUCUUUCGCU